rnacentral:rRNA from 1 species
AUGGACGAAAGUCUGACCGAGCAACGCCGCGUGAGUGAAGAAGGUUUUCGGAUCGUAAAGCUCUGUUGUAAGUCAAGAACGUGUGUGAGAGUGGAAAGCUCACACAGUGACGGUAGCUUACCAGAAAGGGACGGCUAACUACGUGCCAGCAGCCGCGGUAAUACGUAGGUCCCGAGCGUUGUCCGGAUUUAUUGGGCGUAAAGGGAGCGCAGGCGGUCAGGAAAGUCUGGAGUAAAAGGCUAUGGCUCAACCAUAGUGUGCUCUGGAAACUGUCUGACUUGAGUGCAGAAGGGGAGAGUGGAAUUCCAUGUGUAGCGGUGAAAUGCGUAGAUAUAUGGAGGAACACCAGUGGCGAAAGCGGCUCUCUGGUCUGUCACUGACGCUGAGGCUCGAAAGCGUGGGUAGCGAACAGGAUUAGAUACCCUGGUAGUCCACGCCGUAAACGAUGAGUGCUAGGUGUUAGGCCCUUUCCGGGGCUUAGUGCCGGAGCUAACGCAAUAAGCACUCCGCCUGGGGAGUACGACCGCAAGGUUGAAACUCAAAGGAAUUGACGGGGGCCCGCACAAGCGGUGGAGCAUGUGGUUU